rnacentral:hammerhead_ribozyme from 1 species
ACACUGCCGAGGAGUCCCAAAAUAGGACGAAACGGCCGUCCAGUAC